GUGAAUCAUCAAAUUUUUGAACGCAAAUUGCACUCUCUGGUAUUCCGGAGAGUAUGCCUGUUUGAGGGUCAGUUUAAAUAAAAAUCGAUGUUUUGUUGCCUCUUUUCUUAGUUACGCAUCGGGUUUUGGUCGUCUUAUCUUCUGUUAAGUGACCUAAAAUUUUGCAUGAUUUUCGAACGUAUUUAAAUAAUUUACGUACUUUUGUAAUAUCUGAUAUUAUGUUGUCUCAUUCUCAUGCUUCUCAUCCAG
rnacentral:misc_RNA from 1 species